rnacentral:rRNA from 1 species
AACAAACGCUGGCGGCGUGCCUAAUACAUGCAAGUCGAACGGGGAAAGCUUUCGGGUGAGUACUAGUGGCGCACGGGUGAGUAACGCGUGGAUAAUCUGACUUGAAGAGGGGGAUAACCAGUCGAAAGAUUGGCUAAUACCGAUUAAGACCACAGGAACUGAGGUUCUAGAGGUCAAAGGUUUUUCGCUUCAAGAUGAGUCCGCGUAAGAUUAGCUAGUUGGUGAGGUAACGGUUAACCAAGGUGACGGUAUUUAACUGGCCUGAGAGGAUGAACAGUCACACUGGAACUGAGACACGGUCCAGACUCCUACGGGAGGCAGCAGUAGGGAAUAUUGCACAAUGGAGGAAACUCUGAUGCAGCGACGCCGCGUGAGUGAUGAAGGCCUUCGGGUCGUAAAGCUCUGUCGCAGGGGAAUAACACAAUGAAGGUACCCUGUAAGAAAGGAUCGGCUAACUUCGUGCCAGCCGCCGCAGUAAUAC